UGUCAAGGGAUGGGAAUCGAACCCACGACCUUCCGCUUACCGGGCAGAUGCCAUGACCACUAGAUCUUCAGUCUAACGCUCACCCAACUGAGCUAUUUCGGC